rnacentral:rRNA from 1 species
UACAGAGGUCCCAAGCGUUGUUCGGAUUCACUGGGCGUAAAGGGUGCGCAGGUGGUCGGGUAAGUCUGAUGUGAAAUCCCGCAGCUUAACUGCGGAAUGGCAUUGGAUACUAUUUGGCUAGAGGGUUGGAGGGGGGACUGGAAUUCUCGGUGUAGCAGUGAAAUGCGUAGAUAUCAAGAGGAACACCAGUGGCGAAGGCGGCUUCCUGGCCUGUAACUGACGCUGAGACGCGAAAGCGUGGGGAGCGAACCGG